GUCCACGCCGUAACGAUGUCGAUUGGAGGCUGUGUCCUUGAGACGUGGCUUCCGGAGCUAACGCGUUAAAUCGACCGCCUGGGAGUACGGCCGCAAGGUUAAACUCAAAUGAAUUGACGGGGCCCGCACAAGCGGUGGAGCAUGUGGUUUAAUUCGAUGCAACGCGAAGAACCUUACCUGGCCUUGACAUGUCUGGAAUCCUGCAGAGAUGCGGGAGUGCCUUCGGGAAUCAGAACACAGGUGCUGCAUGGCUGUCGU
rnacentral:rRNA from 1 species